CCGAAAUACAAUCCUCAUACCCGCCGGCCAGCGCACAAGCGAGGCUCAAGGGUGCGCAAGAAAUGCCUCCGUCUCUUCCUCAGAGACUGUCGUCGAUGACAAGGGCGGUCAUCGCAGCGACGGUCAGGGGAGUAGUACUUGGUGCUUGGCGGUCUGCUUCUGACGCCUCCCGUUCCAAAGUGCGAGACUGCUACUAGAAUUUCCAUGACGACAACUAGGCAUGACUUUAUCGACCUCGAAUACUUCGUCGUCCGACGCAUUUCAACUGGGCUCCAGGAAAAAGACAAUUUUAUCAGUUCUUAUGCGAGUUCAUUCACCGGUCCGAAAGUUAAGGCCACUGCGGGUGCCGAUCGUGUUCGUGCACGGUGAUGUGCCUGUGUUUUGGACCAAGCUGCCCUCGCACGAAAAGGACUACCACCCUCCGGAUUGGACGGGCAUGAUGUCAUCCCUCUACCGACGGUGUAUUGGAGGAAGGCGGUGGGACCAUGCCGACAGAGGGGUUAAAAAGAGAAAACGGACGCUUGCAAAUGAUAUUGGCAGCUGGAACUUACCUUCGGCAUCAUCUUACCAAGUGUCAAUAUAAAUGUUUGCUCGAAACGUCCUGA